GGGUCUAUAGCUCAGUUGGCAGAGCAUGCGGUUCAUACCCGCAGUGUCAGAGGUUCGAAUCCUCUUAGACCCACCA
rnacentral:tRNA from 1 species